ACAAUGGCCUUCCCUGUCGCUAUUGCAGAGUGAAAGCAGCAGCAAUCAGAGCUAGGUGGCAGAGCCCCAUGUCCUGACUAGUAACUUUUGUUCAAGUCUUGAAUUCUGAUCCUCAUAGGACAGUGGAGGACAUUGCCUCUAGCCUGCUAGUGAAAGCUGGGACCUGCCCACCAGAUUACACAAAGUGUUAUCGGGGUCAAACUGAUGAGUGUGCCACGGAUUAUGACUGCAAAGAGCAGAAAAAGUGCUGUGAUUGCCAUUUUGCCAUGCGCUGUGUGGAAGCAGCAGAAGCAUAACUCCCUGCUCCAUGGAUAGGCCGAGGGCAUCCCGAGGACAGCGCUGACCCAGAUCCCUGUGUCCUGGACUCUCCAGAUCCCUGCAGGCUGUAUACUGGGGCUCAAACGGAGCCUCUGGCACAGUUACAAAUAAACUUGUUUAUGCCUCA